AACGAACGCUGGCGGCAGGCUUAACACAUGCAAGUCGAACGGGUGUAGCAAUACAUCAGUGGCAGACGGGUGAGUAACACGUGGGAACCUUCCUCGUUGUACGGGACAACUCAGGGAAACUUGAGCUAAUACCGUAUACGUCCGAGAGGAGAAAGAUUUAUCGCAAUGAGACGGGCCCGCGUCGGAUUAGCUAGUUGGUGGGGUAACGGCCUACCAAGGCGACGAUCCGUAGCUGAUCUGAGAGGAUGAUCAGCCACACUGGGACUGAGACACGGCCCAGACUCCUACGGGAGGCAGCAGUGGGGAAUCUUGGACAAUGGGCGCAAGCCUGAUCCAGCCAUGCCGCGUGAGUGAAGAAGGCCUUAGGGUUGUAAAGCUCUUUUGCCAGGGACGAUAAUGACGGUACCUGGAGAAUAAGCCCCGGCAAACUUCGUGCCAGCAGCCGCGGUAAU
rnacentral:rRNA from 1 species